GAGUCAAAUCUUUAUGACUAGAGGGAAGAAAAUAUCAUAGGAAGCAUAGGGAUACAUUGGAUGUGUCAGGGCACAAGCAUAAUACACUGUUAAACACUACCUUAGAUACUAUUAAGGUCACCUGGAUGUUGGGUGGGGAGGAAGAGGCAUCCAGCCCAUGGGAGCACAAAGGGGUUGGCGGAAGCUCUAGAAGAAGCUUUGAACAUAAGGGUGGUCUGGCCCUGCCUGGCCUUCUCCAGGAAUAGGCUGCCAGUAACCUCCUUGAGAGUGGAAGUUAGGGAGACAGGGAGGAGAGGAAAAGGGUGGAGGGCAGGGACGCCCAGGCCACCGUGGAUGGUUAAACUUGCCGACCUGGAAGCUGGCUGGCACAGUGCCUCCAUACCAUUCUCUGUAGAGACACCCAGACAUAAGCAGCCUGUUUGAAGGGCCGAGAAGACCUAUGGUAGAAUAACUUUCUCUCCCAGGAUGGAUUUUCCACAUGUUAUCCACGUGUAUCCAGGUCUCUGGAGUGGAAUAAUCACAGCCUUUGCUUGAAGAAUUCCCUGCCUGUCAGACCCCGAAGGCUCAAGUCUGUGGACAGAAGAUGUGUGAAUACUGAGCUAAAACAGAGUAUAGGCAAGAGUUUUGUCUGUUCACCACUGGGAUUUAAGAACUUAAAGGCCAAGAACUGGCCUCAAAAGCAAAGGAGUGGUGAUCAUUUUGUAAUGUAUAAAAAUAUCGAAUCACUAUGUUUUGCACCUGUAAAAAAAGAAAAAAGACGAGGCGAAGUCAAUAUAUGCUUUAAAAAUAUAUAUAAAAUACACAGAUAUACACACACACUUAUGCAUGUGUGCUAAGUUGCUUCAGUGGUGUCUGAUUAUUUGUGACCCUAUGGACUGUAGCUGGAGAAGGCAAUGGCACCCCACUCCAGUACUCUUGCUUGGAAAAUCCCAUGGACUGAGGAACCUGGUAGGCUGCAGUCCAUGGGGUCGCUAAGAAUCGGACCCGACUGAGCAAUUUCACUUUCACUUUCAUGCAUUGGAGAAGGCAAUGGCACCCCACUCCAGUAUUCUUACCUGGAGAAUCCCAGGGAUGGGGGAGCCUGGUGGGCUGUCAUCUAUGGGGUCG
ensembl:lncRNA